GGAGAGGUGGCCGAGCUGGCUGAAGGCGGCGCCCUGCUAAGGCGUUGUACCGGCUAAAACCGGUACCGCGGGUUCGAAUCCCGCCCUCUCCG
rnacentral:tRNA from 1 species